UGCAAGUCGAACGAUAAGCCACCUUCGGGUGGUGGACAGUGGCAGACGGGUGAGGUAACGCGUGGGAACGUGCCUUUCGGUUCGGGAUAACCCAGGGAAACUUGGGCUAAUACCGGAUACGCCCUUCGGGGGAAAGAUUCAUUGCCGAAAGAUCGGCCCGCGUCGGAUUAGCUAGUUGGUGGGGUAAAAGCCUACCAAGGCGACGAUCCGUAGCUGGUCUGAGAGGAUGACCAGCCACACUGGGACUGAGACACGGCCCAGACUCCUACGGGAGGCAGCAGUGGGGAAUAUUGGACAAUGGGCGCAAGCCUGAUCCAGCCAUGCCGCGUGGGUGAAGAAGGCCUUAGGGUUGUAAACCCCUUUCAGCGGGGAAGAUAAUGACGGUACCCGCAGAAGAAGUCCCGGCUAACUCCGUGCCAGCAGCCGCGGUAAUACGGAGGGGACUAGCGUUGUUCGGAAUUACUGGGCGUAAAGCGCACGUAGGCGGAUUUGUAAGUCAGGGGUGAAAUCCCGGGGCUCAACCCCGGAACUGCCUUUGAUACUGCAAAUCUCGAGUCCGGAAGAGGUGAGUGGAAUUCCUAGUGUAGAGGUGAAAUUCGUAGAUAUUAGGAAGAACACCAGUGGCGAAGGCGGCUCACUGGUCCGGUACUGACGCUGAGGUGCGA
rnacentral:rRNA from 2 species